AUCGAUGAGUGAAGAGUGAGACAAUUUUAAUGAUACCUGAAAGAACAGCCGCCAGGGGGGAAGAGGGGGGGUCACGGGUGAAGGUCAGAGAGAGAGAGAGAGAGAGAGAGAGAGAGAGAGAGAGAGAGAGAGAGAGAGAGAGAAAACGUGAUUAAGACCAACAAAGUAAAAGGAGAUUAAAAGGGGUUUCGAGCUGGAGGUAAAACGACCCCUGAUUGGCUGACUGACACUGGAGCAAGAGGGGAAUGAUCCAUCGAUUUGUGUGUGCGUGCGUGCGUGUGCCUGUGUGUGUGUGUGUGUGUGUGUGUGUGUGUGUGUGUGUGUGUGUGUGUGUGUGUGUAGGGAUAGAGGUGCAGGUUAAUCGAAGUACAGAAGCUCAAGGGGACAGGUCAAAUGGUGAGGUCAAAGAGAGAAGUCAAAGUAAGAGGUCAAAGUAAGAAGUCAAAGAGAGAGGUCAAAAGGAGAGAGGUCAAAGGAAGAGGUCUAAGGGAGAGAUCAAAGGGAGAGGUCAAAAGGAGAGGUCAAAAGGAGAGAGGUCAAAGGAAGAGGUCUAAGGGAGAGGUCAAAGGGAGAGGCCAAAAGGAGAGAGGUCAAAGUAAGAGGUCAAAGUAAAAGGUCAAAGGGAGGUCAAAAGAGGUCAAAGGGGGAAAGGUCAAAAGGAGAAGUCAAUAGAGGUCAAAAAAAGGUCAAAGGGAGGGUCAGACAGGUGUGGGAAUGAUGGGUUGCAGGUUUUAUUAAUUAGUGAAGGUCAGAGGGACAACAUUUACCUGCAUAUUAAAGGAGGUUCGCUUUUAAUUAUUAUUCGCUUAUCGCUUCGUGUCUCCCUGUAUCUAUUUUUUUUUUUUUUAAUCUAGUGAAUAUUAAACAAAAAGUGAAAAAAAUGCUCCACGAGGGAUGAUUAAUAUAUUUUUCCCGUCAGAUGCACGUUAUAAUUUUUCUUUCUCUCAACAAUGAAAACACGAAUUAUUAUUUAUUUUUUAACUGAAUGUGUAUAAAGGGAAAUUGGCGCAAGAGCGGGAUGGCAAGAGAGGGAUGUUUAAUAUAAAUGUUUUCUGUCAGAUGCAUGUCAGUAAUUUCUCUCUC